rnacentral:rRNA from 1 species
ACGGGUGCGGAACACGUACGCAACCUUCCUUCAAGUGGAGCAUAGCUUUCGGAAACGAAAAUUAAUACUCCGUAAGAUCACCGGGUGGCAUCAUUUGGUGAUUAUAGAUCCGUCGCUUGAAGAUGGGCGUGCGCCUGAUAGGUAGUUGGCGGGGUAACAGCCCACCAAGCCUACGAUCAGUAACUGGUGUGAGAGUACGACCAGUCACACGGGCACUGAGACACGGGCCCGACUCCUACGGGAGGCAGCAGUAAGGAAUAUUGGUCAAUGGACGCAAGUCUGAACCAGCCAUGCCGCGUGGAGGAUGAAGGUCCUCUGGAUUGUAAACUUCUUUUAUCGGAGAAGAAACCCCGGAAAUCUUUCUGGGUUGACGGUACCCGAUGAAUAAGCACCGGCUAACUCCGUGCCAGCAGCCGCGGUAAUACGGAGGGUGCAAGCGUUAUCCGGAUUCACUGGGUUUAAAGGGUGCGUAGGCGGGUUGGUAAGUCAGUGGUGAAAUCUUCAAGCUUAACUUGGAAACUGCCGUUGAUACUAUCAAUCUUGAAUGUUGUGGAGGUAAGCGGAAUAUGUCAUGUAGC